rnacentral:rRNA from 1 species
GAUGAACGCUGGCGGCGUGCUUAACACAUGCAAGUCGAACGGGAUCCAUCGGGUUUUGCUUGGUGGUGAGAGUGGCGAACGGGUGAGUAAUGCGUGACCGACCUGCCCCAUACACCGGAAUAGCUCCUGGAAACGGGUGGUAAUGCCGGAUGUUCCAGUUGAUCGCAUGGUCUUCUGGGAAAGCUUUCGCGGUAUGGGAUGGGGUCGCGUCCUAUCAGCUUGACGGCGGGGUAACGGCCCACCGUGGCUUCGAUCCCUAGCUGGUCUGAGAGGAUGACCAGCCACACUGGAACUGAGACACGGCCCAG